ACCUCGGGAAACUGAGAAUAAUACCCCAUAGGUUUAGGGUGCUGGAAUGGUUCUAUGCUGAAAACUCCGGUGCCCCAGGAUUGGUCUGCGGCUUAUCAGGUUGUAGUGGGUGUAAGGGACCCACUAGCCUAUGACGAGUAUGGGCCUUGAGAGAGGAAGCCCACAGAUGGACUCUGAGACAUGAGUCCAGGCCCUACGGGGCGCAGCAGUCGCGAAAACUUCACAAUGGGGAGAAAUCCCGAUGAGGGAUUACCAAGUGCCAGCACUUUUUGUGUUUGGCUGUUCCCCUGUCUAAAAAACAGGAAAAAGUAAGGGCCGGGUAAAAACGGGGUGCCAGCCCGCCCGCGGAAAAUACCCCGCGCCCCGGGGUGGUGGUCGAUAUUAUUGAACCCUAAAAACGUCCGUAGCCCGGUCCUCAUAAAAUCCCUUGGGUAAAAUCGGGCCAGCUUAAACUGUCCCGAAGUCCCGAGGAGCCUUGUGAGACUGGGGAUCGGGGGAAGGUCAGAAGGUACUUUCUGGGGGUAGGGGGUAAAAAUCUUUGUAAUUCCCUGGAAGGACCACCGGUGGCGGAAGCGCUUUCUUGACUAGAAACGGAAUUUCGAACGGUGAGGGACGAAGCCCCUGGGGGGCGCAAAACGGGGAUUAAGAUACCCCCGGUAGUCCAGGGUGUAAACCGCUUGCCGGGCUUGGUGGUUGGGGGGUCCCUUUGGUGGGGCGCCCAGGUGCCGGAAGAGAAAGUUUGUUAAAGCCUGGCUGCUUUGGGGGAGUACGUCCGCAAAGCAUGAAACUUUAA
rnacentral:rRNA from 1 species